GUGAAACCUGUGAUGAUUACUUCGGUUUGAUUCGUGGGUGGAAAGUGGCGAACGGGUGAGUAACACGUAGGUAACCUGCCUCGAAGUGGGGGACAACCAUUGGAAACGAUGGCUGAUACCGCAUAGUUCUGUGGAUAUGGGAGUAUCUUCAGGUAAAGCUCUGGCGCUUCGAGAGGGGCCUGCGUCCGAUUAGCUAGUUGGUGGGGUAAUGGCCUACCAAGGCGACGAUCGGUAGCUGGUCUGAGAGGACGAUCAGUCACACGGGAACUGAGACACGGUCCCGACUCCUACGGGGGGCAGCAGUGAGGAAUAUUGCACAAUGGGGGCAACCCUGAUGCAGCAACGCCGCGUGGAGGAUGAAGGCCUUCGGGUUGUAAAGUCCUUUUCUGAGGGGCGAUAAUGACGGUACCUCAGGAAUAAGUCCCGGCUAACUACGUGCCAGCAGCCGCGGUAAAACGUAGGGGGCGAGCGUUAUCCGGAUUUACUGGGCGUAAAGCGCACGUAGGCGGCGCCGUAAGUUGGACGUGAAAGCUCUCGGCUCAACUGAGAGAGGUCGUUCAAUACUGCGGUGAUUGAGGUUGGAAGAGGAGAGUGGAAUUCCCGGUGUAGUGGUGGAAUGCGUAGAUAUCGGGAGGAACACCAGUGGCGAAGGCGGCUCUCUGGUCCACACCUGACGCUGAGGUGCGAAAGCGUGGGGAGCGAACGGGAUUAGAUACCCCGGUAGUCCACGCCGUAAACGAUGGAUACUAGGUGUAGGAGGUUAUUUACCCCUUCUGUGCCGUAGCUAACGCGUUAAGUAUC
rnacentral:rRNA from 1 species